GGCCAUUUAUAACCUCAACAUUCUAAUGUAACUCAGACCAUCGUUAGACAUGCUGAUGCAAACUAAGGAUGAGCGUAUUUGAGCAGGAGAGCUUAGAGAGAUGCCUGUGCUCUAGGUUAGAAAGAGCCCAGGUGGACCUUGCUGACCGCAUGCAGCAGCUGGACAAACAUUUUCUGUGCAUAGAGAGGGAGCUCCAUGCAAAAACCAAUGGAUGGUUCAGGAAAGGGAUGGCUGAUAUGCUGCAGAUGUUAUGACAGCUGCUGAACAGGACUAUAGGUAUCACUGUUCCAGAUAUGUUUCAUGAUACAGCUGCUGAACAGGACUAGGUCUCAAUGGCACAGCUGCUGAACAGGUAUCAAGGGCAAGGAUUCAAGGUCAAUCGCAGUUGCAGUUGAAUGCAAACAGUGCAAACUACUUCUUGUAAAUGGGGGAGUCAGUGAUUUGGGGCCUAAGGCACAGACAGGAAUGGGUCCUCAAUGUCUGUCAAUAAACAUCUUAUUUAUCAGUCUAAAACCAAUCACUUCUGUUAAAAUAUUACUUACAGUUAUAAUGUAAAGACUCUAUAAAGUACUCCUGAUCUGUGUUUGUAGUCUGUUCAAACAGGGAAAAAGGAAAACCUGUCAGAGAUUCAUGAACUUAAUCUACUGUGUCCUGAAAUGGAGAGGGAGUGAGCAGUCAAUUCUUAUACACCCCACCUUUUUGUAACCACAAUAUUUAUUUUUUACCUUCAAUGCAUCCUGCUUCUGGUCAACUUUUGGACAUCAUUCUAUGUGGCCUUUACUCCAUAGAACACAGGACCUUAUGGCCUUUACUCCAUAUAAGACAAGCCCUUAGUGGCACAAGCAGUCCUUUUUGAACCUCUUUUGUCAUUUGCUGCCCUUUUAUCACAUGUGUUUGUGACUUCCUUGUUUGACCAUUUGUGGACACAUUCUGUGUUCCAUGCUGAAGCCACUUCCUUAUGAGAGAGCAUGUUCAAUGAGUUGCUGUUACCUGUAUGACCUGCAUGAAUGCCAAACUGAACACUGAAAAACAUUUCUGAGACAGGAGGAAUACUUCCUCCUGAGGAUGGCCCUGUGGUUCUUCUGUAAUUUUCCUACAAAAGUAUGCAGUACAAACUGCAAAAAGUACACAAACCCACAAACACUUUCCCCUGGAAAACACCAGCAAUGUCAGAGAGUCUGUAUUUCUCUUUGUAUUCCAAUCCAAUCCAAUCCACUUUAUUUAUAUAGCACAGUUUAAACAAACACAAGGUUCCCAAAGUGCUGUACAGCAAGGUAAGAAACACAUUAAGACACCACAGAAGCACAAUAAUAGGAUAAAGUAUUAAAAUUAAAAAAAAUGUAAAAAAUAAAAGUAAAAAUACAUAAAAACUAAGAUAAAAGUAAAAAUUAUUCAAAAAUAACCUAUGGCUGUUCAUCUUAGAAGUGAUAACAUCAGCAUGGUUUGUUUUUUUUGUAUCUGGAAAAUUCUAGGCUCUAGAUCUAGGCUGCCGAUAGGUGAAAUGCAGCUCACAUGGCACCAGGAAGGUACCCUGGAAAUCCAGAGUUCUCGUGAGAGAGAGCACAAUGGAAUUGUCUCUGCGAGACACUCUGGCAAAGAGCAAUGAUGCACGUUACU